rnacentral:rRNA from 1 species
GAUGAACGCUAGCGGCAGGCUUAACACAUGCAAGUCGAGGUGCAGCACAGGUAGCACUACCGGGUGGCGACCGGCGCACGGGUGAGUAACGCGUAUGCAACUUGCCUAUCAGAGGGGGAUAACCCGGCGAAAGUCGGACUAAUACCGCAUGAAGCAGGGGCCCCGCAUGGGGAUAUUUGCUAAAGAUUCAUCGCUGAUAUAUAGGCAUGCGUUCCAUUACGCAGUUGGCGGGCUAACGGCCCACCAAACCGACUAUGGAUAGGGGUUCUGACAGGAAGGUCCCCCACAUUGGUACUGAGACACGCACCCAACUCCUACGGGAGGCAGCAGUGAGCGAAUAUUGGUCAAUGGCCGACAGGCUGAACCAGCCAAGUCGCGUGAGGGAUGAAGGUUCUAUGGAUCGUAUCCCUCUUUUAUAAGGGAAUAAAGAGCGGGACGUGUCCCGUUUUGUAUGCACCUUAUGAAUAACGAUCGGCUAACUCCGUGCCAGCAGCCGCGGUAAUACGGAGGAUCCGAGCGUUAUCCGGAUUUAUUGGGUUUAAAGGGUGCGUAUGCGGCCUUUUAAGUCAGCGGUGAAAGUCUGUGGCUCAACCCUAAAAUUGCCCGUUGAAACUGGGGGGCUUGAGUAUGUUUGAGGCAGGCGGAAUGCGUGGUGUACCGGUGAAAUGCAUAGAUAUCACGCAGAACCCCGAUUGCGAAGGCAGCCUGCCAAGCCAUUACUGACGCUGAUGCACGAAAGCGUGGGGAUCAAACAGGAUUAGAUACCCUGGUAGUCCACGCAGUAAACGAUGAUCACUAGCUGUUUGCGAUACACUGUAAGCGGCACAGCGAAAGCGUUAAGUGAUCCACCUGGGGAGUACGCCGGCAACGGUGAAACUCAAAGGAAUUGACGGGGGCCCGCACAAGCGGAGGAACAUGUGGUUUAAUUCGAUGAUACGCGAGGAACCUUACCCGGGUUUGAACGCAUUCGGACCGAGGUGGAAACACCUUUUCUAGCAAUAGCCGUUUGCGAGGUGCUGCAUGGUUGUCGUCAGCUCGUGCCGUGAGGUGUCGGCUUAAGUGCCAUAACGAGCGCAACCCUUGCCACUAGUUACUAACAGGUAAAGCUGAGGACUCUGGUGGGACUGCCAGCGUAAGCUGCGAGGAAGGCGGGGAUGACGUCAAAUCAGCACGGCCCUUACAUCCGAGGCGACACACGUGUUACAAUGGCGUGGACAAAGGGAAGCCACCUGGCGACAGGGAGCGAAUCCCCAAACCACGUCUCAGUUCGGAUCGGAGUCUGCAACCCGACUCCGUGAAGCUGGAUUCGCUAGUAAUCGCGCAUCAGCCAUGGCGAGGUGAAUACGUUCCCGGGCCUUGUACACACCGCCCGUCAAGCCAUGGGAGCCGGGGGUACCUGAAGUCCGUAACCGCGAGGAUCGGCCUAGGGUA